GACGAACGCUGGCGGCGUGCUUAACACAUGCAAGUCGAACGGAAAGGCCCUGCUUUUGUGGGGUGCUCGAGUGGCGAACGGGUGAGUAACACGUGAGUAACCUGCCCUUGACUUUGGGAUAACUUCAGGAAACUGGGGCUAAUACCGGAUAGGAGCUCCUGCUGCAUGGUGGGGGUUGGAAAGUUUCGGCGGUUGGGGAUGGACUCGCGGCUUAUCAGCUUGUUGGUGGGGUAGUGGCUUACCAAGGCUUUGACGGGUAGCCGGCAGGAGAGGGUGACCGGGCACAUGAGGCCGAGGAGAGGCCCCAGCCGCGAACGGUGGCCAACGGGGGGAAGUAUGACACAGGGGGCGGAGGCCGGAGGCGGAAGCCCCCGGGGGGGAAAGCCGGCUUGUGGGUUAAAAACCGCUGCCGCCUGUUACGAAGCUGUACUGACGGUAAUGAAAAAAGAAGCACCGGCUAACUUCGUG
rnacentral:rRNA from 1 species